rnacentral:rRNA from 1 species
UAUCAAUAAGCGGAGGAAAAGAAACCAACAGGGAUUGCCCCAGUAACGGCGAGUGAAGCGGCAACAGCUCAAAUUUGAAAUCUGGCCUUGCGGCCCGAGUUGUAAUUUGCAGAGGAUGCUUCUGGCGAAGUGCCUUCCGAGUCCCCUGGAACGGGGCGCCGGAGAGGGUGAGAGCCCCGUACGGUCGGACACCUAGCCUCUGUGAAGCUCCUUCGAAGAGUCGAGUAGUUUGGGAAUGCUGCUCUAAGCGGGAGGUAAAUUCCUUCUAAAGCUAAAUACCGGCCAGAGACCGAUAGCGCACAAGUAGAGUGAUCGAAAGAUGAAAAGCACUUUGGAAAGAGGGUUAAACAGUACGUGAAAUUGCUGAAAGGGAAGCGCUUGCGACCAGACUCGGGCCUGGGGAAUCAUCCGGCGUUCUCGCCGGUGCACUUCGUCGGGCCUGGGCCAGCAUCGGUUCUGCCGGGGGGACAAAAGUCGGGGAAACGUAGCUCCCUCCGGGGAGUGUUAUAGUCCCUGGCCCAAUGCCUCCGGCGGGACCGAGGACCGCGCUAACGCAAGGAUGCUGGCGUAAUGGUCGUCAGCG